rnacentral:rRNA from 1 species
GUUAGGAAUAUUGGACAAUGGGCGAAAGCCUGAUCCAGCCAUGCCGCGUGAACGAUGAAGGCCUUCGGGUUGUAAAGUUCUUUAGCCGAUGAUUAUAAUGACUGUAGUCGGAAAAUAAUCCCCGGCUAACUUCGUGCCAGCAGCCGCGGUAAUACGAAGGGGGCGAGCGUUAUUCGGAAUCAGUGGGCGUAAAGCGUGCGUAGGCGGUUUUGUAAGUUAGGAGUGAAAGCCCAGGGCUCAACCUUGGAAUUGCUCUUAAAACUGCAAGGCUCGAAUCUCGGAGAGGAUAGCGGAAUUUCCAGUGUAGCAGUGAAAUGCGUAGAUAUUGGAAGGAACACCAGUGGCGUAAGCGGCUAUCUGGACGAGUAUUGACGCUGAGGCACGAAAGCGUGGGGAUCAAACAGGAUUAGAAACCCUAGUAGUCC